UUUGGGGUGAAAAAAGCGGAUUUUGGGGUAAAAAUGCUGAUUUUUGAGGUGAAAAGUGCAGAUUUUGAGGUGAAAAGUGCAGGUUUUGAGGUGAAAAGUGCAGGUUUUGGGAUCUGAGGCAGAUUUUGUGGAGGGUGAGGAAAUCGUGAGGUAAAAAUGUUGAUUUUGAGAUAAAAAUGCAGAUUUUUGGGGUAAAAAUGCUGAUUUUUGAGGUGAAAAGUGCAGGUUUUGAGGUGAAAAGUGCAGGUUUUGGGAUCUGGGGCAGAUUUUGUGGAGGGUGAGGAAAUCGUGAGGUAAAAAUACAGAUUUUUGAGGUGAAAAUGCAGAUUUUGGGGUAAAAUUUCAGAUUUUGAGGUGAAAAGUGCCGGUUUUGAGGUAAAAAAUGUCGAUUUGGAGGUCGGGAGGAAAUCCUGAGAUUUUGAGGUGAAAAGUGCAAAUUCUGAGGGGAAAAGUGCAGGUUUUGAGGUGGAAAGUGCCGAUUUUGGGGUCUGGGGCAGAUUUUGUGGUGGGUGAGGAAAUCGUGAGGUAAAAAGUGCAGAUUUUGAUAUAAAAAUGCAGAUUUUUGAGGUGAAAAUGAAGAUUUUUGAGGUGAAAAUGAAGAUUUUUGAGGUGAAAAUGCAGAUUUUGGGGUAAAAAUUCAGAUUUUGAGGUGAAAAGUGCCGGUUUUGAGGUAAAAAAAGUCGAUUUGCAGGUCGGGAGGAAAUCCUGAAGUAAAAAUUGCAGAUUUUGAGGUGAAAAGUGCAGAUUUUAGGGUAGAAAUCCAGAUUUUGAGGUGAAAAGUUCAGAUUUUGGGGUAAAAAUGCUGAUUUUUGAGGUGAAAAGUGCAGGUUUUGAGGUGGAAAGUGCCGAUUUUGGGGUCUGGGGCAGAUUUUGUGGUGGGUGAGGAAAUCGUGAGGUAAAAAUGCAGAUUUUGAGAUAAAAAUGCAGAUUUUUGGGAUGAAAAUGCAGAUUUUGGGGUAAAAUUUCAGAUUUUGAGGUGAAAAGUGCAAAUUC